UACGUAGGUGACAAGCGUUGUCCGGAUUUACUGGGCGUAAAGAGCGCGCAGGCGGUCGAUCAAGUCGAGUGUGAAAGCCCCCGGCUCAACUGGGGAGGGUCAUUCGAUACUGAUCGACUCGAAGGCAGGAGAGGGUAGUGGAAUUCCCGGUGUAGUGGUGAAAUGCGUAGAGAUGUGGAGGAACACCAGUGGCGAAGGCGACUCUUUGGCCUGUAACUGACGCUGAGGCGCGAAAGCGUGGGGAGCAAACAGG
rnacentral:rRNA from 1 species